CUGCCUCUGGCUCAGGUAUUCUUUUCAUACUUACUUUAGAAACGAUGACAGUGAAACUCAGAGAAAUCAAGUCACUUGCCUAAGGGCACACAGUAAAUGGCAAAACUGGAGCCAUGCUCAUCCCUCCAAAGCUGAGGUUUUUAACUAUUCCACUAGUACCGGAGGGAGAAACGGACGAGAGGAGAGAAAAGGUGCCAUUGCAGUUAGGACACACAAAGACAUUUCUCUGAAGAGGAUGGGGAAGGAGCUUUCAUGGAAGAGGUGGUAUUUGAACUAUGACUUGCAAAUUGGACAGAUGAGCACGAGCAAGGCUGGCAGGGACAGGGAGUCCAUUACUGACUGAAAAGGAAAUGCAGAAAAAAAAAAAUACAAAGUCACGUUGCAUUACAAAGAUCUGAGGGAGAAGAGACUUAGUGCAUGCUGGGUUUUCUUCCUCGGAGCUCAGCAGCACAGAGUCUCGAGCAAGCAAGAGUGCAGAGGAGGGACGAGCAAGAUGAGGCUUGGUGAUCACAGAUGAUAACGGACAAGAGCCUGGAUUAGAGGGAAGAGACCAAGCUGUGGUCUGAAAGAUUAAAGUUCUAGGUCUGGGUACGAGUCAAGGGCAACGGGAGUAAACUUGGAAGGACCAGGGACAGGGUGUGGAAAAGUAAGAAAGCACUCACGGGAGCUACAUAGAGGAUCAUCAAAGGAGCUAGAGGAUCUGAGGUGGUCAAGGAGAGGGGACAAAGGCUGCAGCAGUGUCCAAAGAGCCUAGUAAAGUGGGGAAAGAGGGGUAAAAUUGGAAGAGUCAGCUGGGAAAGCUGAAGGAUGAAAGUUAGGUUCAGAGAUGUCCUUGGGCUUGGGGCUGGAGCAGGAAGAGUACAAGGGGCGACCCUAAAAGACAUGGUGUGUGGGAGUUGCAAGGAGUGGUCCAAGGUCAACAGUAAGGGAGGGAGGGUAGUAAGGAUGGGCCAUCCGAGGACUGGAACAGGAUCGCAGCGGAGGGACACUCGACACCCGGCGGCCUUUGGGACUCGCAAAACAGCAGCUUCCAAAAAAGCAGCUUCCAAGCCCUUAGCGAAAGCGAAGGGGUCAGGCUCGAAGCGCCCCGCGCCUCGCGUCCGCCUCCCCCAUAACACCCACGUCACCUCAACACAGCCGCGACCCACCUCACUUCGGCAGCUUGGUCAGGGACAGCGCCGCCUCGGUGGGCGGGGAAAGGAGCCGGAGCCGGAACCCAGAGAGGACUCGCCUCUGCACUGUUGGGAUUGGGUUCUGAAAACAUUUUUCCUUCUUAUUAGCUAUACUAACUGUCACACUGCACAAAACCUAGGCGGGACGGCCAAUAAACAUUGGUCUAGGGCGCGGCAUGCUGGGAGUUGUAGUCCUGAUGUUUGUUUCGCUAAAAACAUUUGCCCACUUCAGAACUCAGCUGUGAAGCUGUCUUCACUUCUAAGGUCAUCAGGUUUAUUUUCUGUUUGUCUUUUGAAGUGGAGGCCCUCGAUAGAAACCUCGUACUUUAUUAAAGUUUAUAAUUUAAGAUAAAAAGAGCAUGUACCCGAAAGAAGUUUAAAGAUAAAGUAAUUCAAUCUUUGUCUGAGACACUAAGUGUCCCCUUCCGAGGACUGACCUUCAGCCAGGUUGGCCAGUGGCCCAACAUAAGGUUUUUUCCCCCCUGUGUCCUUUGUGAUCCUGGUAACCCAACAGUCUCUCAUCAGUAUGGAUAUAUAGACAGUAAGGUAUCCAGAGAUAGUUUUUAUUUGGUUGCCUGGUUGCUGUUUUCCCAGAUUUUAUUUUGAAGAACAAUAAAGAUUGGAACUUGCAAGAUAAAGAGGAUAAAGAUAAGUUGAUGUGGAAGCUAAGUACAAGCUUUUGCUGUUUGCAUGGCCUUUCAGUGGUUGUCUUUGUAACUGGAAAAGGUUUAGGGCUAGUGAUGACUCAGUAGUUAAGAGCACUUAUAGCUCUUUCAGGGUAUAGAUUGCCAGCACCCACAUCAGGUAGUUUACAACCACCUGUAACUCCAGAUCCAAGGGAUCCAAUCCCUUCUUCUGGGCUCCUCGAGCACCUGCACACAAGCACACACACACACACACACACAUACACACACACACACACACA